UAGGGAAUCUUCCGCAAUGGGCGAAAGCCUGACGGAGCAACGCCGCGUGAGUGAUGAAGGUCUUCGGAUCGUAAAACUCUGUUAUUAGGGAAGAACAAAUGUGUAAGUAACUAUGCACGUCUUGACGGUACCUAAUCAGAAAGCCACGGCUAACUACGUGCCAGCAGCCGCGGUAAUACGUAGGUGGCAAGCGUUAUCCGGAAUUAUUGGGCGUAAAGCGCGCGUAGGCGGUUUUUUAAGUCUGAUGUGAAAGACCACGGAUCAACCGUGGAGGGUCAUUAGAAACUGGAAGACUUGAGUGCAGAAGAGGAAAGUGGAAUUCCAUGUGUAGCGGUGAAAUGCGCAGAGAUAUGGAGGAACACCAGUGGCGAAGGCGAAUUUCUGGUCUGUAACUGACGCUGAUGUGCGAAAGCGGGGGGAUCAAACAGG
rnacentral:rRNA from 1 species